rnacentral:rRNA from 1 species
UACAGAGGGUGCAAGCGUUAAUCGGAAUCACUGGGCGUAAAGCGCACGUAGGCGGAUUGCUAAGUCAGGGGUGAAAUCCUGGAGCUCAACUCCAGAACUGCCUUUGAUACUGGCGACCUUGAGUCCGGGAGAGGUGAGUGGAACUGCGAGUGUAGAGGUGAAAUUCGUAGAUAUUCGCAAGAACACCAGUGGCGAAGGCGGCUCACUGGCCCGGUACUGACGCUGAGGUGCGAAAGCGUGGGGAGCAAACAGG